GAUGGAUAAACCUCACUGAAACCACUGUUCUGAGACUGCAGGCACAGCUAUUGAGGACAGCCUAGAUGCAAGCCAGGUCUCAUUUCCAAAGCACAGAGUGGAUUAAAAGUAAAGUACAACCAAAAAGAAGACCUGGAAAUCUGAAAAUAUGCAGAAUAACAAUCCAGCAAAGAAUGGGUCCUUCAGAGAACUUGCAUUGAAGGUAAAACUGAAGGAGCUGCACACCAAUCCUCUGCCACUGCACUGUGCACCUCUGUAUGUCACAAGUACACCAGGAAGAGCCAUCUCUCCAGGUUUGGUGCUGGGGGGGUUUGGGUGGUUGGAGGGGGUGGUGUUUGAGAUCAUGGCCAUAUCAGCCAUUCCCUGUGCCACACAGGGAGCAGAGCAGUGAUGUGCACACAGCACCCCACAGGUCCUCACCAGUGAGCUCCUGCAGGAGCCCUCAGCUAGGAGACCAGAUCUGUGGGAGCCCCAG
rnacentral:lncRNA from 1 species